ensembl:snoRNA
ACCAGCCCCUUUACAUUGCAAUUGGGGCCAGUAUGUCACAUGGGCAUCCGUAGGUGCUAAAGAGGAGAGAAGUCAUGUCUACACUCAGUGUUCUGACCUAUGAAUAUCUGAAUGCUUAGUAGCCUAACAUC